CUCUGGGGCCACCAGUCUCUUGAGUGUUAGUUGCAACUUCUCUGAGUCCAGACACUACAGUCCUCUGCUGUAUAUAUGUCGGGGGACUCAUAUCAACUGGUAUAUCCUGCCUGGAUGAUGGCUCCCAGUUUGAGAGAACUCCGGGCUCCAGCCAGAAGCUCAGCAUGACUAUCCUAUGGGAGGAUCUACUACAGUGGACUAAGACUCAUGAAGAUAUAUGCAUCCAGCAAUAGGACUAAGGACCAUUUGCAUGGAACAUGCUUUUUGAAUCUUUUAACCUGAGGUAAAAAUCACAUCUUGAUAUUGAAGUGUGUUUGUUGUAUUCAGUAAAGGAUGGAUCCUGACCUCACAUCCAACCCAUUAAUCUGUGUCAUUUAAUAAUAGAAUUAAGGCCAUUGUUAUUGAAAGAUAUCAAUGCCCAGUGCCCACUGAUUGCUAAUUUCUAUUAUGUUCAUUAUGUUCUUGUUGUUGAUGGUAUUGUUAUGGGUUUUCUGUGUGUGUGUGUGUAUGUGUGUUUUCUUUUGGUUUUGCUUAUGUGAGGUUAUUUAUUUGCUGUAAUUUUUGAUGUGUGUUGUUAACCCCCUUAUCAUAACUUUUUCUCUAGUAUCUUCGGUGGGGCUAAAUUUCUAAAUACAUAUUGCUGAAAUUUGAAUUUAUCAUUCAGUAUUUUAAUUUCUUCCUGCAGGAUGUACAGGGAGUCUUACUAUUGGGGCCUUUCCUUGAAGAGUCUCUUAGAGUUGUUUCUAUCAGCAUGGAUUCAGAGGAGAUAAGGAGUCAUAGAGAGAAGUAGAUGAGUCAAGUGAUGAUCAAGUGAAUUUAGCAUCUCUGUGUCACUAGCAAUCAGGAAAAAUCUGAGGCCAUAACUAACUAGGAAACAGGUGAUUCUUUAUUAUACAAGAAUCACAGAACACAGAGAUUCUAAUAAUUAUCCAAGUGGUAGAAUUUAGGUGUUUCAUUUUUUAUUAUAUGGCCAGGGUUACAGUUUGAUUUACGUUGAGAACAUACAAACAGAACAGAUUAUGUUCUCAUUAUCCCUACACCUCCAAUUUAUGUAAUCUAAUCAAUGACUUCAGCAAAGCAAACACAUUCAGUAUUUGACAGCCUACCUGUAUGUGAGCAAUAUUUGCAGUUUUAAAGCAUUCCAGACGAAUAGAAAAUAUACAAACACCUUUUUUUUUUUUGUGGGAAGCCACAUGUGCCAUUGCAUGGUGGCGCUGGCUACCA